GGCCUUGUGGUCUAGUGGUAUGAUUCUCACUUAGGGUGCGAGAGGUCCCGGAUUCGAUCUCCGGCAAGGCCC
rnacentral:tRNA from 1 species